CAAGUCGAGCGGAUGAGGGAGCUUGCUCCUGGAUUCAGCGGCGGACGGGUGAGUAAUGCCUAGGAAUCUGCCUGGUAGUGGGGGAUAACGUCCGGAAACGGGCGCUAAUACCGCAUACGUCCUGAGGGAGAAAGUGGGGGAUCUUCGGACCUCACGCUAUCAGAUGAGCCUAGGUCGGAUUAGCUAGUUGGUGGGGUAAAGGCCUACCAAGGCGACGAUCCGUAACUGGUCUGAGAGGAUGAUCAGUCACACUGGAACUGAGACACGGUCCAGACUCCUACGGGAGGCAGCAGUGGGGAAUAUUGGACAAUGGGCGAAAGCCUGAUCCAGCCAUGCCGCGUGUGUGAAGAAGGUCUUCGGAUUGUAAAGCACUUUAAGUUGGGAGGAAGGGCAGUAAGUUAAUACCUUGCUGUUUUGACGUUACCAACAGAAUAAGCACCGGCUAACUUCGUGCCAGCAGCCGCGGUAAUACGAAGGGUGCAAGCGUUAAUCGGAAUUACUGGGCGUAAAGCGCGCGUAGGUGGUUCAGCAAGUUGGAUGUGAAAUCCCCGGGCUCAACCUGGGAACUGCAUCCAAAACUACUGAGCUAGAGUACGGUAGAGGGUGGUGGAAUUUCCUGUGUAGCGGUGAAAUGCGUAGAUAUAGGAAGGAACACCAGUGGCGAAGGCGACCACCUGGACUGAUACUGACACUGACGUGCGAAAGCGUGGGGAGCAAACAGGAUUAGAUACCCUGGUAGUCCACGCCGUAAACGAUGUCGACUAGCCGUUGGGAUCCUUGAGAUCUUAGUGGCGCAGCUAACGCGAUAAGUCGACCGCCUGGGGAGUACGGCCGCAA
rnacentral:rRNA from 1 species